AACGAACGCUGGCGGCAUGCCUAACACAUGCAAGUCGAACGAGACCUUCGGGUCUAGUGGCGCACGGGUGCGUAACGCGUGGGAACCUGCCCUUAGGUUCGGAAUAACUCCCCGAAAGGGGUGCUAAUACCGGAUAAUGUCUUCGGACCAAAGAUUUAUCGCCUUUGGAUGGGCCCGCGUUGGAUUAGCUAGUUGGUAGGGUAAAAGCCUACCAAGGCGACGAUCCAUAGCUGGUCUGAGAGGAUGAUCAGCCACACUGGGACUGAGACACGGCCCAGACUCCUACGAGAGGCAGCAGUGGGGAAUAUUGGACAAUGGGCGAAAGCCUGAUCCAGCAAUGCCGCGUGAGUGAUGAAGGCCUUAGGGUUGUAAAGCUCUUUUACCCGGGAUGAUAAUGACAGUACCGGGAGAAUAAGCACCGGCUAACUCCGUG
rnacentral:rRNA from 1 species